rnacentral:rRNA from 1 species
UACGAAAGGGGCUAGCGUUGUUCGGAAUUACUGGGCGUAAAGCGCACGUAGGCGGCUUUUUAAGUCAGAGGUGAAAUCCUGGAGCUCAACUCCAGAACUGCCUUUGAUACUGGAGAGCUUGAGUCCGGGAGAGGUGAGUGGAACUGCGAGUGUAGAGGUGAAAUUCGUGGAUAUUCGCAAGAACACCAGUGGCGAAGGCGGCUCACUGGCCCGGUACUGACGCUGAGGUGCGAAAGCGUGGGGAGCAAACAGG